CAGACGACACUCAGGAUCCUUUUUAGAGC
rnacentral:sRNA from 1 species